rnacentral:misc_RNA from 1 species
CGCUAGGCAAAUUAUGUAUUAAUUCAUUUUUAAUCUUUCGAUGUGGGACUCUUGACAUAUGGAACAAAUCGACUGAAUGCUCACAUAUGAUCAAAGUAUUAUAAUGCCAACGAUAAAUCCUAAUCUAGUACUGUCCGUUGUUUUCAAUAACAACCAUGAACAAAAUUUUGGACAGUGGUUACCUUUAUCCUUAUUAUUUAAAUGGGGGCAAAGAAAAAGUGCAGGUAAGGGUAACAUUACCCUUGCCCCCUUCCCAAAAAGAAAAAUGUAACUGGCAAUUUGAAAUUCUUUUCUCCGUCACCUUACAUUUUGAAAUGGAAAAACUUUGACCCAGUAGGAAAUCUUUCCUAUAUUAUACAGUUACUCAAACGUAGAGAGUAAUAUCCCUAUGAUAUGUAUCCACCUUACGACAAUAAAAGACUACUUGAAAUCCUCCAUCUUUUAAGCACCCACAUUUGUCAAAGAAAGUCUUUUUCUAGUAGGAGCAAAUAUUAGUAUGCGUGGUUUAGGCAAUAAAGAACAAACAAGCCAUUGGAAUAUUCUAUCCAAUUAAAUGACCAGCAUUCCACCAUCUUAUCAUUUAACUCAAUAAGUGUGCGCCGAGACCCUGAUAUUCCUCUCUUCCAAGCACCUAAGCAAUUUUAGGUCAAAUAAUUACCAAAAAAAAUUUUGCUGUUGACCAAACUGCUAAAGCAUCCCAAACAAUAGAAAAUGCAAAAGAUUAGUUAUCCAGAAAAAUAAUUUCCAUGAAAUAAAUGAACGUUAAAGUUGGAAUGCAGGACAGUUCUACAGUCCAUAAGCAUUCAAGUCUUCAAAGAAAAACAAAUAAAAGGAACGACAAAAC